rnacentral:piRNA from 1 species
CCAAUUGAACGAAAUGUGCUCCU